rnacentral:rRNA from 1 species
AUUGAACGCUGGCGGCAGGCCUAACACAUGCAAGUCGAACGAGUGGCGGACGGGUGAGUAAUGUCUGGGAAACUGCCUGAUGGAGGGGGAUAACUACUGGAAACGGUAGCUAAUACCGCAUACCAUCGGAUGUGCCCAGAUGGGAUUAGCUAGUAGGUGGGGUAAAGGCUCACCUAGGCGACGCUCCCUAGCUGGUCUGAGAGGAUGACCAGCCACGCUGGAACUGAGAAACGGUCCGGAUUCCAACGGGAGGCACAGGUGGGGAAUAUUGAACAAGGGGAGCAAGCCUGAUGCAGACAUGCCGCGUGUAUGAAGAAGGCCUUCGGGUUGUAAAGUACUUUCAGCGGGGAGGCGUUACCCGCAGAAGAAGCACCGGCUAACUACGUGCCAGCAGCCGCGGUAAUAC